GCCUACGGGAGGCAGCAGUAAGGAAUAUUGGUCAAUGGGCGGAAGCCUGAACCAGCCAUGCCGCGUGCAGGAAGACGGCCCUACGGGUUGUAAACUGCUUUUGUACUGGAAUAAACCUUCGUAUGUAUACGAAGCUGAAUGUACAGUAAGAAUAAGGAUCGGCUAACUCCGUGCCAGCAGCCGCGGUAAU
rnacentral:rRNA from 1 species